rnacentral:rRNA from 1 species
GAUGAACGCUGGCGGCGUGCCUAAUACAUGCAAGUCGAGCGAACGGACGAGAAGCUUGCUUCUCUGAUGUUAGCGGCGGACGGGUGAGUAACACGUGGAUAACCUACCUAUAAGACUGGGAUAACUUCGGGAAACCGUAGCUAAUACCGGAUAAUAUUUUGAACCGCAUGGUUCAAAAGUGAAAGACGGUCUUGCUGUCACUUAUAGAUGGAUCCGCGCUGCAUUAGCUAGUUGGUAAGGUAACGGCUUACCAAGGCAACGAUGCAUAGCCGACCUGAGAGGGUGAUCGGCCACACUGGAACUGAGACACGGUCCAGACUCCUACGGGAGGCAGCAGUAGGGAAUCUUCCGCAAUCGGCGAAAGCCUGACGGAGCAACGCCGCGUGAGUGAUGAAGGUCUUCGGAUCGUAAAACUCUGUUAUUAGGGAAGAACAUAUGUGUAAGUAACUGUGCACAUCUUGACGGUACCUAAUCAGAAAGCCACGGCUAACUACGUG